CGGUAUUUCCGGUCGGACUGUGCAGACGUGCCAGGAACAUGGCAGAGUGUAAGUUCACUCGGGGCCUUUUGGAGUUACCAAAGUUUUCUGUUAACGAUGUACGUCGUAUUGUAAGAACAUCGAGUACAACGCCACAGAGUAAGCUUGAAAAGGGUUUCAAGUUCUAUGCGUCCUCGUAUCUCUGCAAUUUCGAAGUCCUUUCAUGCACAGAGACGGAACAGAAGUGGCAUAAACCGCGAACAAUGGGGGUGAAACCAGGAUGCCAUGGUUGUUAUAAAGCCCAAACCAGGUGCUACUUCAGCCAGUGGAGUUAG
rnacentral:lncRNA from 1 species